UACGUAGGUGGCAAGCGUUGUCCGGAAUUAUUGGGCGUAAAGCGCGCGCAGGCGGUUUCUUAAGUCUGAUGUGAAAGCCCACGGCUCAACCGUGGAGGGUCAUUGGAAACUGGGAGACUUGAGUGCAGAAGAGGAGAGUGGAAUUCCACGUGUAGCGGUGAAAUGCGUAGAUAUGUGGAGGAACACCAGUGGCGAAGGCGACUCUCUGGUCUGUAACUGACGCUGAGGCGCGAAAGCGUGGGGAG
rnacentral:rRNA from 1 species